GAUGAACGCUGGCGGCGUGCUUAACACAUGCAAGUCGAACGGAAAGACGCAAACUUGCCUUGUCAGUUGAUUGGCGAGGGGGUGAGAGAAACGUGUGGGAUCCGUCCUUCACUGACUGGGAUACCUUGGGGACUCCGGAUCUUAUACGAUAUAACGUUGUGAACGGUGCGGUUGAAGAGAGAAUGUUCGUCUUGCUGUCACUUCUAGAUGUAUCGGCGCUGCAGUAGCUAGUUGGCGAGGUAACGGCUUACCAAGUCGACGAUGCAUAGCCGGCCAGAGAGGGGGAGCCGCCACACGAGAGCUGAGACACGGACCAGACUCCUACGGGAGGCAGCAGUCGGGAAGCUGGCGCAAGGGGCGAAAGCCUGACAAAGCAAGGCCGCGUGAUGGAGGAAGGCCUUCGGGUCGUAAACCGCUUUUGUUUGGUAAGAACCUUUGUGUAGGGAACAGGGGACUUCGUGACGGUACCUUAAGAAGAAGCAACGGCUAACUACGUG
rnacentral:rRNA from 1 species